GAUGAACGCUGGCGGCGUGCCUAAUACAUGCAAGUCGAGCGAACUUACUACAAGCUUGCUUCUCUGAUGUUAGCGGCGGACGGGUGAGUAACACGUGGUUAACCUAUCUAUAAGACUGGCUUACCUUCGGAAAACUGAUGCUACUUCCUAUUAUUAUUUUCAACCUUUUGUUUUAAAAAUUCAAGACGGUCUUGCUGUCCCUUAUCGAUGUUUCCGCGCUGCAUAAGUUAGUUGUUAAGGUAACGGAUUACCAAGGCAACGAUGCGUAGCCGACCUGAGAGGGGGAUCGGCCACACUGGAACUGAGACACGGUCCAGACUACUACGGGAGGCAGCAGUAGGGAAUCUUCCGCAAUGGGCGAAAGCAGGACGGAGCAAAGCCGCGUGAGUGGUGAAGGUAUUCGGAUCGUAGAACUCUGUUAUUAGGGAAGAACAUAUGUGUAAGUAACUGUGCACAACUUGACGGUACCUAAUCAGAAAGCCACGGCUAACUACGUG
rnacentral:rRNA from 1 species